rnacentral:lncRNA from 10 species
GAAAACCCAAAACUGCCAAAUCUGAAAUGAGGGAAACACAUCCUGUGUGAGACCAGUUCCACAGCAUGAACACACACACAUAUACACCAGUACAUACACCGACAUACACACAGUACAAAUGAGCACACCCGCCCUGCUGUGCACAGCUGUUUUCUAAUAUAGAGAAUUUACAAAAUAUAGAAUUUGGCAUAUCUAUCUGUGAGAUCUCCAAGGCUUUCAAUAAUACAAAAUAAAAAAUACAAAAAAGACAAGUGGGGAUCCCCGCCCUCCCCCCGAGUGGCGUCCUCGUUUGCUUGUGUGUCUCUUACACGCAUACAACUAGCAUAGUCUAAAGAAGGGCACGGAGAACUUGUUUUGUUUUAUUUAAUAAAUAUUUUUCUCAGAAUCACCA